UAGAAGAGACUCGUGAUCUCCUGCCUGGAGGGUGAAGGCCCAGCAGCUGACACUUGGAAGCUGAGUGGAGGAAGCAGACUAAAAUCCAACUCCAAAGCUCAAGAACCAUUGAAACUGUAAAGACAAAGGCAAUCUUGUAUCUCUCUGCAAGAAGACAGGCAAUUCCCAAAUUAACUCAGAUAUAAUGUAGGAAGACUUCUACUCAUCCUAGAGGACACUUCAGAGACCAAGAAUAUUGUCUAGGAACUGAAGCAGCUUUAUCAACCUUGGCUUAUAAUCCAAUCACAAAUAUCAACAUGGUAGAAUGAAUGGUCAAGGAAGAAUUAGGAGGUCAUGCAAACAGC